GGGAGACCGAGGCCUUGCUCGUGUUUGUCUAUUCUUUGCCAUUAAAGAGUACAUUUUGAGGACUGAAGUUUCCUUGAGACACGGGAGGUUAAGGCCAGUGAGCGCUUUGUUGCCUUUCAGAUAUCUAAAGGACGGAAUUGGGGGCACUCUGUCUUAAGAUUCUACAUUCAAGCAGCCUUUAUCAUCUUCCAUAAGUAACACCCUUAGCCUAAGAAGGGACUUUGGGACAAGGUGAACACCCCUCCCCCCUCAACACGCACUUGUCCACCCAGGACAGCAGUUCUUUCCCGAACGAGGGCUAGGAAGUAAAUCUGCGCAGGCGCUGGGCUGUAGCGGGUUUGCGCAGGCGCUGCACUGUCGUGUGGGUUUGCGCUGGCGCCUGCGCACCUCUGAGCCCUAGCGUUGUCCUGGUUACCUCGGUGUGAGGCCUUAGGCGAGUCCCUUCAGUGGCCAGCCCAUCCGUUUCCCGUCAUUGCGGGGAGGAGUGAAGUUAGACUGGUGUUUCUGGAACCCUCAUGGUCGCCAGAAGGAAGGGAGAAGCCUGCCUGGAGGGAAAGCAAGGAAAAAAAAAUACUAAAAGCCUUUGGAUUCUGUGUUUCCUCAAAGCAGAAUCAUUAAAGAGAUUAUGCCAGGUGCCCAGGAGGCAAAAACAUCUCUCUGUGAAGACGUGGUUCAAGGCAAGAGCCAGAGAAGCAGUUAUAAAGGGUAGUGUGCUCUUCAGACUGGUGUGAAAAAGGAACCUGGAAUUAUUUCCCAGGAAGUACCUCUUUCCAAACCCAAGAGAUGAGGAACGUUGCUGUGCAUAAGGACAUGCCUGGUUCCGCCUCUUUAAUUUCCAAAGAUCAAAUCCUAAUGGAGCUCCCCCUGUUGCUCAGAAUAAAUGCCAGAAUCUUCAUAAUGGUUGUGGCUUACAUCAAGUUCCAGGGAGCGUAUCUUAUACCAAAGGACCCAAUGGGUGCCCCAAACUGUUCUCGGCUCAUGGCCCUGGAUUCUGCCAGUGACCUGAAUGAGCUCCAAGAUGGAUCAUUCCCAGUGUCCCCAAGGAAGAGGCCAGCCCAGCCAGCAUGUUGAUUUCAGCUUGGUGGGAGACCUCCAGCAGAGGACCCAAUUGAGCCCCCCCAUUCUUCUGUUCUGUAGAACUGUGAGCAAAUAAAUGGGUGUGGUUUUAAGGUAC
rnacentral:lncRNA from 1 species